GCCAAAACCAAAAGGGUUGGACUAGGAAGCUUUAGAUUCUGAGAUAAGAAGUGGGUAAAGGCACAGGGUGGAGGCCUCCAAGGUCUCAAGGGUGGGAGAGGGAGCCUCCUGGUGGCACCAAGAAGUCACCACACCUUUUCAGGACCCACGGAGUCCCCACAAUCGUGCGAUCCAAGGUCAAAAAGAGAGAAAGUGACCCCAGGCCAAUGUCAGGAAAAUGACAAGUGCUGGAUUAUGAGAAAACAGGAACAUUAAUGCACCGUUGGUGGAGCUGAGAAUUGAUACAGUCAUUCUGGAAAGCCAUUUGGAACUCUGCCCAAAACAGAAUUGGAAACUGGAGUAGCACUCAGUUGGGGAAUGGAUAAACAAAUUACAUCAUAAAAAUGUCAUGAAAUACCAUUGUGCUGAAAGAAAUGAUGAAGGAAAUCAUUUCAGAGAAAUCUCAGAAGACGCAUGAAUUAAUGCAGAAUGAAGUGAGGAGAAACAUGAGAAGAAUUUCUAUAGUAAAAGUGAUCUUGUGAUGACAAACAGCUUUGAAAGACUUAAGAAUACCAAUCAAUACAAUUACCAACCACAGUCCCAAAGGACUUAUGAUGGGACAUCUCCUGACACAGAGUCCUGGACCUGCCUCCAGUACCUGGCAUUUCCUGGGAUUUACCCUCAGCAUCAACAGUGAUAGUUAAUGAUGGCUUCCAUCUCCCUGGCUGCCUUUCCUAAGCACUUCACAACCCAUUCCCACUGCAGAAAAGCCAACCUCAGACGUGCUGAGUCCCAAAGAGCUCAAGCCAGCAGGAAUUCUGGUUUGUGGAGUUGUGUAUGGUCAGACCACACACAAAUUUAAAUGCAGCGUCCGGCACACAUGAUUCAGGGUUAGAACAUUAAGAGCCCCCAGUGUGAGGUACAGGGUUCUAAAUAUGAGAUUAACAGGUUUUGUCUUAUGCUCCACACGUAACAGGGAUAAGGCUGCAAGUGUUACAUGGCUUUCGCUAACCCACCUAUAGUUUUUCAAGUAUGAGAUGCAGGUUGUGAGGGUAUAACUCUGAGGUAUUCUCAAGGACAGACACAUCUAAACACCAUCUUUUAACCUGCUUCUAGCUUGUUUCCUUAUUAAAUUUCUUACUCAUUCAAAGAAAAUAAAGGGGUAUGUUCUUAUAUUUCCCCAUAAAUUGCUAUAAAUUAAAAACCUCUCAAUCAACUAAUUAGCUCCAAGCUGUAACCCCAGCUUAUAAAAAUAGGGAGAAUUUCAUUUCCUAUAAACUUUCUCUCCUAGUGCCUCACACUAGAAACUUACAGUCUUAGACCAACAUCAGUGUUCCUAGUCAUAUAAUUUAUUAACAGUAACCAGUAAUUAAGAAACAUAGACAAAUAUUUCAACAACGCAUCAGCUAUGAGAAAAGUGACAGGCAGGGUUACUUCUGCUGACUGUCCGAAAACUCUGGAAACACAAACUAACAAUUAAAUUAUCUUCAA